UGGGAUCACACCAGCAUGCAUUAGCUAGGUCCAUUGACUGUUUUCUACAGUCAUUGGCUAGGUCUUUCACUUUGAAAGCAAAUGAGACAGGCUGCAGAUGGUGGUGCGGAAUUAUCGAUUGAUUUGGUACAGCGAGCUGUCUGGAAGAAAGACUGGCUCAACUUCAUUUAGCCACAUCACCUGAGCAGGAGUCACCUGAGUCAGACCUGAACCAUCAAAGUGGAAAGCAGACUCAAGGUCAUCAAAGGCCCAAAGGACCGUCCUGUAAACUGGCAAUAAACCAGAAUACCAAUAUAAAGAUUUUUCUUUCUAUUAACAGUGGCCAAGUAAGUUAGAAAACACAGUGGAUCAAAAAUUAAAAAGUGUGCCACUGCACAGUGUCUCCCCGCUCAGCAGAAAAGAGCCAGCCCCAUCCCUCAGCCCAGCCACACAUCCACCAUAGACACAAAGAACACAAAUAAUUUUGGGAACAACAUCCAGCACCAGGGGAAGCGGAUAGGAGGGAGCCCCAGUGGAAGAUCUGGGUAUGUGUGGGAUGAGG